rnacentral:rRNA from 1 species
GACGAACGCUGGCGGCGUGCUUAACACAUGCAAGUCGAACGAAGUGGCGAACGGGUGAGUAACGCGUAAUCAACCUGCCCUUCAGAGGGGGACAAAAGUUGGAAACGACUGCUAAUACCGCAUACUGAAGGAGGGGAUGGCGUGUGAUUAGCUAGUUGGAGGGGUAACGGCCCACCAAGGCGAUCAUUAGUAGCCGUUUUGGGGAGAUUGAUCGCCCCAUUGGGACUGAGGACCCGCCCCGACUCCCUCGGGGUGCCGCAGUGGGGAAUCUUCCGCAAUGGACGAAAGGCUGACGGAGCAACGCCGCGUUAGUGAUGACGGCCUUCGGGUUUUUAAGCUCUUUUAAUCGGGACGCGGUACCGGAAUAGAAAGCCACGGCUAACUACGUGCCAGCAGCCGCGGUAAUAC